ensembl:lncRNA
CCUCUCGGCCUGACGCGCGGGAGCGGGAGCCGCUGGCCUCUGCUUUAGAGCGCUUUUGCUUUCCGAAUACAGCCUUCAUAAGGGCAAGAGCUUCCACCCAUUUUGUUCACUGCUGCGGUCCUGAUGCCUGGGACAGCCCUGCUGAGAGAUGGGGAAAGCAUCCAGCUGGCCCUGAAGGCUUGAGCGCAUAAGUGACCCAGCUUGAGACACCUCCUCUUGGUCACCAGCCACACCGGAAGCCAGAGGUCAUCUUGUGUCAGCAUCAGCAGGAACCAAAGACAGGGCUUGCUGAUGACAGCGUGCUAAGAAAAUUCUGGAGAAAUGGUGAGAAAGAACCUGGGGCAGUUCUGUGAACAGAGGGUGAGGACGGAAUAUUCUGUGAGGUUGUGAUGAGAAGAGUGGGAACGAGAAGCACUGGGACUGGAUUUGAGGUCAGGGCGAAGGCAGCCAUAGGGCAGGGGUCACAACUAUCCUCAUAAUGAGCCGCCUGGGAUGACACUGAGGCCAUCGUCACUUGGUCUCCCGACUGUUGUCAGUGAUGGAGAGAAGGUCUGCAAGUCUGCGUGAAGUUUCCAAGGAAAGGAUGCUCGCAGCCUAAAGAGUCCAGAAGUCCUUGAGAAACCAGAGGCUCUAAGCAGAGACACACUCCCUUCCCGUAAUUGUAAAAUUCCCACUCCUACUCCGGUUGUUCUUGCCGCCACUUGGGGGGACCGGCCGCUUUUAUCUGGGCACCUUUCGCAGUCCUCUUGGGGAGACUUUGGCCAAAUCCCACACAGUUCGCCUUGUCAUUAGUAGCGUUUUACAAGGUAAACCCAUCCCAUGCUGUAUGUUGCUCACGGCCUGUCUCCAGCAUUACAAAUCCUGGAGUCUCGCUUUAUAAUUUUGAACUUUCAGGCCCACUUGUAAUAUCAAGGCUAAAGCGUUGUGACUAAACAAUAUAUUGGAAGAAAUUCAUGGUAAUGGCAUUUGGCUCGAGUUGAAAGCUUAGCUUUUAAUGUUCUCGAAGAUCUAAGAGGACCUUGGUUUUGUUUUCUCCAAAGGUCCUUCUCGGUUAACUGCAUAAUAUCCAAUUAUGCAUCUUAGAAGAAUUUAGGGUUGAGAAAACCCAGCUACUAUUGGAAUCUUUGAUUCUACAAAAUAUUCGUUUCCAAAACCAGUGCUUAUACAACGAAACUCUUCCCUUUGGGAUUUAGUUGAUUGUCAUAACUUUUGAGCUUGCCUUGCAAAGCCACAGACUCAUUGCAAUAAAAAGCUUCAGCUUACAAUGUUUUAAAAGUGUAGCGUUGUAGCCGAUUUUGGUCGUUAUUUGAUCAGGAAAGAAAAAAAAAAUCCCACAAAUCAUUUUUUUUUUCUGAUGUCUUAAAUGAACUGGGGUUUUCAUAUUUAUUUCUUAGGAUUGUAGCAUUUUGAGCACAUUGUGUUUAUAGGUGUGGGAAUCACAAGUCACUAAAAUAUUUGAAUCUUAAAGAUGGGGGAAAAAGCCUGCAAUUACCAUUUAUUGUAAGUAAGCAGGGGGCAGAGAAGGGUUUUGUUUAUCCUGAUCUUUCUUAGUUGGGAGGGGAAUGGCAGGCUACCCGUCUGGCCACAUCUCCCAGACAGAUUUGAUGUGGCCACAGAUAAUGUGCUCCUAUAAAAAGGUGUAAGUCAUGUGUCUGGCUUUGCAGGAAUGCUAGGGUGUAGGAGUUUAUAAGCACGAUUUCCUCUAAUUUGAUUAAGACAUCAUAAGGAUAGCACUUUCCCUAGGUCGAAAGCAACAACUGGGUUCAUUUUCCUCUCCUUGGAAGAACUGCAUUCUCCACUUAGUGAGUCAUGAGUUCAGGGUUUGUUAUAGGUUGGACCAGGCACUCAGGGACCUGAAUUUCAAUCAUCUGCUUCAGUAUUUCUCAGACUCAGCAAAAUCCACGUUCUGGGUCCAGUAGUUCUUUGCUGGGGAACUGUCUUAUGUAGGAGGUUUCGCAGCUCCUCUGCCCUCUGUCCACUAGAAGCAGGUAACCUCCCAACCCCCACAUGUAAUGAUAAAAAAUGUCUCUUCCAGGGACAGGGAAGGGAGGGGCAUCUCCUCUGGUUGAAAAUUACUGCUUUAGAUUUACUUUAUUUGGGAGUGAACUAAAUUAAAAAAAAAAGUUUUGGGAGUAUAGUUGACUUAUAUAUAAUAUUGUGUCAGUUUCAGGUGUACAGCAAAGUGAAACAGUUAUACAAAUAAAUAUAUCCAUUCUUUUUUCCCAUAUAGGUUAUGACAAACUAUUGAGUAGAUUUCCUUGUGCUAUACAGGGGGUUCUUGUUUAUCAUCUAUUUUAUAUGGCAGUGUUAUGUUGUGUGUUAUUCCCACUCCCCCAGUUCUUCCCUCCCCCCCAAUGGUUUCACUUAGAGUGACCAUAAGAUGGGUUUUGAGAUCUGUGAGCUUGUUUCUGUUUCAUAAAUAAGACUUUUUCCUUAAAUGUUAAUGGGACCCAGGGAGUGGGAGGUCCUGGAGAGAGAGAAACAUCCUUUCCCACAGGGGUGGGUAAGUGAGCACCAAAGGAAUUGUUAAGUUUUCCAGGAUGGGAGUUCCUGUCAUGGCUCACGGGUAGCAAAUGCAACUAGUAUCCAUGAGGAUUUGGAUUCAAUCCCUAGCCUCACUCCGUGGGUUAAGGAUCCGGUGUUGCCAUGAGCUGUGGUGUAGGUCACAGAUGAAGCUCAGAUCCUGCAUUGCUGUGGCUGCGAUGUAGGCCAGCAGCUAUAGCUCUGAUUGGACCCCUAGCUGGGAACCUCCAUAUGCCACAGGUGAGGACCUAAAAAAGACAAAAAACAAAAAAA